GUCUUCCUCGUACGCAGCCCUAUAACAUCACCGGCUCUGCCAAUGCCGGCGAACGCAACCAUGGGCUUUCACUCCUAAAAUGACACCAUCGCUUCCCCGUCUCUCUUAUAUUCAAAUCGAUGAUUCAUUUCUCUCGAAUCUCACCCUAAAGCUUCCAAUCUCAAUUCGAAAUUUUUGCAACCAUGACCCAACUUGAUCCAAAUCACUCCAAAUUCACACCACUGAACCUCCAUCUCCUCAUCACCAAUCCAUAAGUAAUCCUCUUCAAAUCAUGACUGAGCCCCUCGAAUUUCAAAUCCAAAAUCAGUCAAAAACCUUAAUUCAUCCCAUUGAUCUCAAAUGAACGCAUCAGGGUCUCCUUGCUUCUCUCACGAGGAAUCUGAUGUCAUUGGCCUCGAACAUCAUUGAAGGUAGUCGAGUUUGAAUUUGGAAAUUUUUCCAGUGAGUCUUCUUUUUCUUUUUUUUUUUUCAUUCUUUAUUUUUAUUCUUGUUUUGUUGAAGUUUUCUCUCUUGUUUCUUAUUUGAGUCUCUUGGUUAUGUUUUUAUUUCCUUUUCAUAAUUCUUUUAGAACAUGGGUCAGCUUAAUUGAGUUUAUUUGCUUGGAUUUUAAGUUUGGUUAAUCGAUUUAGUGGCAUUAAAUGGUUAUUAUGACUAACUGAUGCCAUCGUAUUAUAUGUUCUUUCUUAUUCAUCUGUUAUUAGUUAGAUUAGUGCAGUUUAAUGUGCAUUUCUACGUCUGUUAGUUUUGUUUAGUCAAUAAUUAGACAAUGGUGAAUUAGGAUUCUUAAUUGAAACUCAAUUCAUAGCUUAGGAAGCAGUUUGAUUGUAGCAGUAAUUUUGACUUGAUGCUCACAGAUAAAAUAGGUAGUUCAAGGGUAGGGAAUCUAGGAUGAACUUCCUGGGAGCUUCUAGGUAAUUUGCAAAAUAUAGGUGUAGUUACUUGGAUAACAAGUUAAUAAGUAGAGGUACGAUGUAGAUCUCUUGCUGGAAAUGAAACGAAAUUGAGGCUGGACCUCUACUGUUGACUUGCACUUUUAGUGGCUCUAUCAUGUUUAGAUGGAAUUCUGUAUUUUGAUAGUUUGCUCAUAAACUGUAUUAACUAUGGACUAUUCAAGUUUAUGGACUAUGGACUUUUUUUUAAUGAGCUAAUGAACUUCAUAAUUGGCAACAUUAGUUUGGCUUAGUGGUAUUACUGGUGUAGUGUAGUAUAGUGUGAGAUAACUUGAUUUGUUUCUCAUUAAUUACAAGAAAAACAUGUCAAAUGGCCUGAUAUUUUGAUGUGUUAUUUUCAGUAAUCCAAUUUUAGAAUCAUGAACUGCUUGAGCAAUAAUUCAGUCAUGCUAGUUUGAGUUGUCCUAAAUCAAUAGGUCGCUUUGAGUUUAGGCUGUUGAGUAGUUAAUAUGUAAUGUAAACAAAAUUCACCUAAUCCAAUCGAUUAGCUUUUUCAUGUGAGGCUUACAAUUAUGAUCAAUGUUGUUAAGUUCAUUCACCCCCCCUAAAUUUGUGUUCACUUUAGUAAUAUCCGAUAACUCAUUAGGAACCAUAAUAGAAAAUCAUAUAAGUAGGGAAUUGAAAGUCAAGUGAUUAGCAUUUUAUUAAUUUGAAGGAAUUGAACAGUGUCUAUUCUAUCACAAAAGAAACAAGUGAAAUUGGAACAGUUUGGAUCAAGUUUGGGGCCAUAGUAAUUUUAUAUUCUGUUGGUGUAAGUCUGCCAAAAUUCCAUACCACACAGCCUCUUUUUGUUAAUUUGGGGCCUUAAUGAUUUAACACAGGCCCAGGUCUACUGAAUCCCUUCUCGUUUGGGCCAAGGCCGAAUCCUACAUUUGGCCAAUUUUAUUUGCGGGCCGAGGCCAAAAGUCGUACUCUUUGAGGCUAGCCUUUGAGCCUAAUGGCCUGCUUAGUUCGAAAUUCUUGUUUAGCGUGUACUAGGCCAAUGACAUAUUAAUUAUGGAUUUUUCCUUUUAUUUUAGAGAAAAAAUUAAGUAGAGAAUUGUAGUUGUUUUUAGGUUGGCUUUAAAAUAAAUAAGACGAGCCUCGCCAAAUAAAAUGCAUAAACUCUCGGUCCCUCAAUAAAUGGUUACAAUAAAAUACGUAGAACUCAGGAUGGGCUGUUUAGCAAAAUUUCGCGGCUCUCCCCAAAGUGAUAACGCGUUAGACACUUUAGACGCGCUAUUAAUAAAAUUACAUUUCUAAACUCGGGUGCGCAUUUAUGUGACCCAAAUCCAAAUCUCAACGGCGUCGAAAUGUAUCGACAACCACGGGUGCAUUGAUGUAACGUGGUUCGAGAUGCAUUUUCACGAUGUUAAAAUUCUCAUAAAAAAUAACAAUAAUAAUAAAAGCGGUUCAACUCAAAAAGCACAUCAGCUAUAACAUAUGUUGAAAUCAGUUAAAAUCAAAUGCAACAGUCGAGCGACCGUGCUAGCACUACGGAACCUUAAAAUGACUAACACCUUCUCCCGGGUUAAUAUAAUUCCUCACUUGGAUUUUUGGUUUGCAGACUAUAAAUAGAGUCAUAUUUUUCCUCGGUUCGGAAUUCAACGGGUGACUUGGGACAACAUUAAUCUCCCAAGUGGCGACUCUAAAAUCCUAAUAAUUAAAUCCCGUUCCGAUUUUCCAUUAAGUGGAGAAAUACCUUUACGCCCUUGCGGGGAAGGUAAAAGGAGGUGUGACACUUACUGCAACCCCUUAAUACACCAUAUCAAAAUAAAAGAAUCUUGAUUAAGCUAUGAUCUACGAAUUACAAAAAUUCUAUCUGUAUCUUCAGACUUGAUCUGGUGUUUCUUGUUGCCUUGUAGACUUAUGUUCUCUUGGUAAAAUCCAUUGUUUCCUCUUCGAAUUGUAAACUGAGAUGUUUUUCCUUAUUUAGGCGGGUGCCUGAAUACUCAACUUUAUAUGUAUUCCUCUGCUAUAUAGGCUGGUUCCUGACUUCAAACUUAAAUGUAUUCCUCUGUUAUGCGGGCGGGUUCCCAACUUCAAAACAUUAAUGUAUUCCUCUGUUAUAUGGCGGGAUCCCGACUUCAAAACUUAAAAUGUAUGCCUCUGUUAUGCAGGUGAGCUCCUAACUUCAAAACUUGAAUGUAUGCCUCUAUUAAACGGGCGGGCUCCCGGCUUCAAAAUUUUAAAUGUAAGCCUCUGUUACACGGACGGGCUCGCGACUUUAAAACUUGAAAAUGUAUGCCUCUGUUAUUCGGGCGGGCUCCCGACUUCAAAACUUGAAUGUAUGCCUAUGUUUUACGUGCGGGCUCCCGACUUCAAAACUUGAAAUGAAUGCCUCUAUUAUGCGGGCGGGCUCCCGUCGUCAAAACUUGAAAUGUAUACCUCUGUUAUAUGGGCGGGCUCCUGACUUCAAACCUUGAAAAUGUAUGCCUUUGUUAUAAGUGUGGGCUCCU
rnacentral:lncRNA from 1 species